rnacentral:rRNA from 1 species
ACCCCGGGAGGGGAGUGAAAGAGAACCUGAAACCGCAUGCCCACAAGAAGUCAGAGCCCGUCAAAGGGUGAUGGCGUGCCUUUUGUAGAAUGAGCCGGCGAGUCACGAUCAGCAGGCGAGGUUAAGCAGGAUAUGCGGAGCCGCAGCGAAAGCGAGUCUUAAGAGGGCGAAAUAGUCUGAGGUCGUGGACCCGAAACCGGGUGAUCUAGCCAUGAGCAGGUUGAAGUCGGGGUAAGACCCGAUGGAGGACCGAACCGACCCCCGUUGAAACGUUGGCGGAUGACUUGUGGCUAGGGGUGAAAUUCCAAUCGAACCCGGAGAUAGCUGGUUCUCCCCGAAAUAGCUUUAGGGCUAGCGUCGCAGCGAGAGAGCCGUGAAGGUAGAGCACUGAAUAUGCGAUGGCCGCAUCCCGCGGUACUGAGCAUAAUCAAACUCCGAAUGUCACGGUGUCAUCUGCGGCAGUCAGACGGCGAGUGAUAAGGUCCGUCGUCAAGAGGGAAACAGCCCAGACCAUCAGCUAAGGUCCCAAAGUGCAUGCUAAGUGGAAAAGGAAGUGGAGACGUGCAGACAACUAGGAGGUUGGCUCAGAAGCAGCCAUCCUUCAAAGAGUGCGUAACAGCUCACUAGUCGAAUGACUCUGCGCCGAUAAUUUACCGGGGCUAAGCAUGACACCGAAGCUAUGGACAGGAAUGUGGUAGGGGAGCAUUGCAUGCAGCGGAGAAGCAUGACCGAAAGGGCAUGUGGAGCGCAUGGAAGAGAGAAUGCCGGCGUGAGUAGCGGCACGUGGGUGAGAAUCCCACGCACCGAUGGCCCAAGGUCUCCAGAGGAAGGCUCGUCCUCUCUGGGAUAGUCGGGACCUAAGGCGAGGCCGAAAGGCGUAGCCGAUGGACGACGGGUGGAUAUUCCCGUACCCGAUGUGUGGCGAUGGAGUGACGGAGAAGGCUCAGGCAACCAGCUGGUGGAAUAGCUGGGGCAAGCGAGAUACCUGCGCACCAGGGAAAUCCGGUGCGCAUAAGGGGAAGGCGCGAUGCAUACGGAAAGCUUCGGCAAGUACGGAAAAGCUGAGAGCAGGCUUCCAGGAAAAGCUUCUAGCACAACACACAUCGGCCCGUACCGAAAAUGGACACACAUGGGCAAGGAGAGAAUCCUGAGGUGAGCGAGAGAACUAUAGCUAAGGAACUCUGCAAAAUGACCCCGUAACUUAGGGAGAAGGGGUGCUCCAGAAAUGGAGCCGCAGUAAAACGGCCCAAGCGACUGUUUACCAAAAACACAGCUCUCUGCGAAGGCGCAAGCCGAAGUAUAGGGGGUGACGCCUGCCCGGUGCUGGAAGGUCAAGGGGAGCUGUCAGCGCAAGCGAAGCAGCGAGCCGAAGCCCCAGUAAACGGCGGCCGUAACUAUAACGGUCCUAAGGUAGCGAAAUUCCUUGUCGGGCAAGUUCCGACCCGCACGAAAGGCGUAACGAUUUGGGCGCUGUCUCAGCUGUAGACUCGGUGAAGUCUUAGUACCUGUGAAGAUGCAGGUUGCCCGCGACUAGACGGAAAGACCCCAUGGAGCUUCACUGCAGGUUGACAUUGGGCUUGGAUGCAUGAUGUACAGGAUAGGUGGGAGGCUGUGAGCCGUGCGCGCCAGCGUACGGGGAGCCGCUGUUGGGAUACCACCCUUCAUGCAUCUAGGUCCUAACCGGAGGCAACGGGCCACGGGACAGUGUCAGUCGGGCAGUUUGACUGGGGCGGUCGCCUCCCAAAGAGUAACGGAGGCGCCCAAAGAUACCCUCAGCAUGGAUGGAAACCAUGCAUAGAGUGCAAAGGCAUAAGGGUGUCUGACUGCGAGACAUACAGGUCGGGCAGGGACGAAAGUCGGGCUUAGUGAUCCGGCGGAUCCGAAUGGAAGGGCCGUCGCUCAACGGAUAAAAGC